AAAUUCCUACCCUCCCUUGAUUCCAAAAGUUAAGAGACAAACUCAGGAGCAGGUGCUCCAGGCCGUAUCCAAUCCCCUAAGCCCCACUGGGAUGCCCUAAUCCCGGGACAAGCCCUUCUCCUGUGGCAAGGAAAAGGAUGCUCCGGGAUCCAGGCCAGCCAAGGCACACCCCCAGGAGGAAAAGCACGGCCUCCAACGACCCAAAAAGCCAAAUCCUCCCAGUGGCUGGGGCUGUAAAUCCUCACUAUCCCAGCACCCAACGGUGCUAAAACGAGGCUGGAAAAGAGGUCGAGCCUGGAAUUCGGCAGGAAUUCAGCACCAGCACUUCUGGGGAAAGAAAGAAAGAAACUGCAGUUUUCCAGCCAGAACCCAAAAGCAGGGAAACAUUAAAUAAACAGGAGGGAAGGGGAAGUGAAAGCCA